AAUGCCAAAGUUAGAGCUGCCAAUAGACACAAGAGACCUGAGGUGCCAGAGAUGGCAGACCUUGCCACCACAAACUGAGGGCUACCAGUUUCUGCCAUCACAAAAUAGCCUCUCACCAAUACUCGAAGCUCAUCAAGAGUAAAUUUCCCCCACUCUAUUUGUCUGUUGGAAACACUUUUAUGCAACACAUUGUACUUCAAUUCUAUGUAUCUUUUCGCGCUUGGAACCAUCAACGACAGACAACAUAGCGUCGCGAGCAAGGGUAGCAUGAUCACAGCAGAUGAAACUUGUUCGGCCAAAAUAUAUCCAAAAUCAUUGAAGGAACGCAUCUGAACUAUAUGAAUGAACACAUUUACUGCAACAGUAACGACUAAAAUGCCCAAAGCUGCAAUGUUCAACACAAUUUCAUUAUUCUCCAUGGAUCCCAAAGAUGUCAUGAAAUUACUCAUGCUAGUAGACAUCAAAACGAGGCUGCAAAUCCUCGCGAGUUUAUCAUCGACGUCGAGGUCGGUGCUUGUUAGAUCUACGGGCAAUUUCAUGGAGACGGCUAAGAGUGUCAAGGAGAAAGCGUUGAGAGAGAAGUACUUACACGGUAGCCAGUAUUUUUGGGUUCUGAAGGCGUUGAUAGCAUCCGCCGCCAUCGCGAGCGUGCAGGCGGCGGAGGCUGCUGCGAUGUACAUGCCUAUCCAUGGCAUGGUUGAAUCGAGCUUCGUUUUUACCAAAUUCUGAUAUUGAAUAUCAGGCGUUUGGAAGCAAUCAGAUGGAGAAGUCAUGACCUAGAAAGCUUAACUAUAUCGAUAUAUAUUUUCUGUUUCUUUGUUGUUUGAAGGUAUGAUUUUGGGGUACGGUGGGAUUGAUUUUAGGAGUUGUUCAUGUACUACUUACUUCCCAAUGCUGCAGCUGAGAGAGAGAGAGAGAUGCGUGCUGCUUCGAACUUCCUCAUCACCACUCGUCAUUCAUUCAACGAUUAAAAUCAUUACAUAACCAGAUUCGACUGUAAAGCCAGAAGAAUUUUUUAGCAACAGCAUUUGGUUGAAAAUUCAGUGGUUAGUUCAAUAAAAGAAAAAUAUGGUUUUGAGCCUUCAGUAUUAGUUCAAUAAAAGAAAAAAAAAAAGAACAGAAACGAAAAAGGUAAGUUGGAUAUAGACAGUAGUCAAAACACGGAAUACAGAUAAUCAAAAUUAAGCUGGAAAUUUUACACUGAAAGUCUGAAAAUAAAAGAAUUAAAUUGAUCCAAAUCAAAAUUAGUUCAAAAUUGAGUGGAUCAGUUGCGGAGCAAGAAUUUCCACUCAGGAGUGUUUUUCAAUAAAAAUAAUAAUUUUCCCUAAAAAAAAAUCAUCAAAUAAUAAAAAUUAAAAAUAAAUAAUAAUCAUUAACAUAAUUAUAAUACCAUUUAAAUUAUAAAAAGUACCUUUUUAAACUGAUUUUCAAGUUCAUAUUAAGUAAUUUCAAAAAAUUAAGACAAAUAAAACUUUGCAAGGUGAAUUACAGCAUCCGCAUUGGGCUUACUUGAUAGACUACUUGAUAACUUACUUGAUAGUACGAGACCACAUUGAGUAGAGGAGGUCAUAUUGGGGUUAUUUGAUAAGCUACUUGAUUUUUUUAGUUUUGAUUUUUAUGUUUUUCAUUUAAAUUUAAUUGCUUAAAUUUAAAUAAUACAAUUUAAUUCAAAUUUAAAUUGCAUUAAUUUAAAAUCCUACAACAUACCAAAAAAAAACCUAAAGACAUAAUAUAAAAAUACUUAAUUAAAACCUAAAAAACAUAACUAAAAACUAUAUAAAUUAAAAUCAUACUCUAAAUAAGUCCACGACGCUUGAGCACUUCUUGGACCAUGUAGUUGUGCAAUAUUCNNNNNNNNNNNNNNNNNNNNNNNNNNNNNNNNNNNNNNNNNNNNNNNNNNNNNNNNNNNNNNNNNNNNNNNNNNNNNNNNNNNNNNNNNNNNNNNNNNNNNNNNNNNNNNNNNNNNNNNNNNNNNNNNNNNNNNNNNNNNNNNNNNNNNNNNNNNNNNNNNNNNNNNNNNNNNNNNNNNNNNNNNNNNNNNNNNNNNNNNNNNNNNNNNNNNNNNNNNNNNNNNNNNNNNNNNNNNNNNNNNNNNNNNNNNNNNNNNNNNNNNNNNNNNNNNNNNNNNNNNNNNNNNNNNNNNNNNNNNNNNNNNNNNNNNNNNNNNNNNNNNNNNNNNNNNNNNNNNNNNNNNNNNNNNNNNNNNNNNNNNNNNNNNNNNNNNNNNNNNNNNNNNNNNNNNNNNNNNNNNNNNNNNNNNNNNNNNNNNNNNNNNNNNNNNNNNNNNNNNNNNNNNNNNNNNNNNNNNNNNNNNNNNNNNNNNNNNNNNNNNNNNNNNNNNNNNNNNNNNNNNNNNNNNNNNNNNNNNNNNNNNNNNNNNNNNNNNNNNNNNNNNNNNNNNNNNNNNNNNNNNNNNNNNNNNNNNNNNNNNNNNNNNNNNNNNNNNNNNNNNNNNNNNNNNNNNNNNNNNNNNNNNNNNNNNNNNNNNNNNNNNNNNNNNNNNNNNNNNNNNNNNNNNNNNNNNNNNNNNNNNNNNNNNNNNNNNNNNNNNNNNNNNNNNNNNNNNNNNNNNNNNNNNNNNNNNNNNNNNNNNNNNNNNNNNNNNNNNNNNNNNNNNNNNNNNNNNNNNNNNNNNNNNNNNNNNNNNNNNNNNNNNNNNNNNNNNNNNNNNNNNNNNNNNNNNNNNNNNNNNNNNNNNNNNNNNNNNNNNNNNNNNNNNNNNNNNNNNNNNNNNNNNNNNNNNNNNNNNNNNNNNNNNNNNNNNNNNNNNNNNNNNNNNNNNNNNNNNNNNNNNNNNNNNNNNNNNNNNNNNNNNNNNNNNNNNNNNNNNNNNNNNNNNNNNNNNNNNNNNNNNNNNNNNNNNNNNNNNNNNNNNNNNNNNNNNNNNNNNNNNNNNNNNNNNNNNNNNNNNNNNNNNNNNNNNNNNNNNNNNNNNNNNNNNNNNNNNNNNNNNNNNNNNNNNNNNNNNNNNNNNNNNNNNNNNNNNNNNNNNNNNNNNNNNNNNNNNNNNNNNNNNNNNNNNNNNNNNNNNNNNNNNNNNNNNNNNNNNNNNNNNNNNNNNNNNNNNNNNNNNNNNNNNNNNNNNNNNNNNNNNNNNNNNNNNNNNNNNNNNNNNNNNNNNNNNNNNNNNNNNNCAGAUCGGAAUGGUGUUCCAGAUCAGAUCACAAUCAGAAACCGAUUCAGGAUGAAACCACAACAGAACAUCGUUAAAUCGACCAAACAUAAAUGAGAUCCCGAGGCGGAUGCAUCUCACCAUCUAUCAACCCCCAAAAACUUAACGAAUCUCGAUCACCACACAAACAAAAUCGAAAAUGCAGCACAAAUUAGAUCUAAAUCCAGCAAUAAUCAGCUCGAUCUGAACGAAAAACUCAUUUCUUCCAAAUCGAUUCAUCAAAAUCGCAGAUGCGACACAUCAAAGGCAAAAACCGAACCAAAUCACAAAAUUCAACCGAAAUCAGAGCAUCGCGAACAAAAUUAGAUUCAAUUGAAGGUGGGACCCACUACAAAAUAAAUGAAAAAAAAAUCAAGGAAACGGUGUUAGAAGUCCGUUUUCUUCGUGGGUUUAUUUGCAUAUUUUUUAUGUACUAUAGAGGAGGUAUUUGUACCAAAGUCGAGUGUGGGGGGCUAAACGCUCUAGGGGGGGUCUACUUUAGGGACUAAUUUGCACCUUUACCCUUUAAGAAAUUGUAGAUUAAUGUUUUAAAUGUGUAGUAUAAAAGUGAUAAUGUAUGAGAGAGAAGACAAUAAAGUGAUAAAGUAGGAGAGAGAAGACAAUAAGAGAGUGAUUAAUUAGUUGUAAUUAUGCAAUUAAAAUCCUUUAUUUUUUCCAUAUUUAGAAAUGUAGCAUCUUCAUUGGGACGAUCCCCAAAAAAAUAUGUAGCAUUUUUGUUGGGACGAAGGGGGUAUAAUAUAUUUAUAAAAUUACAAAAAUUUCAUAAAUUAUAUAGUUCAAUAUAUUAUAAAUUAGUUUCGAGACGUUCCACUAUAAAUUAUAACCACAAUUAAUGAGAACAUGUAUUGUACGUAACUGAAAUCCAAAUGCACUAAAAAAANAAUAGAUAAGCAACAGUUAAAUACUAGCUAGUACCCGAGUAUUGUUGCAUUGUCAGUUGAUGGUGCUCAAGGAUUUUCAAUAUCCAGCGCCAUCACCAUGGAUGCCCUCCUCCACUCAUCAAUAUUAGCAGCUCUCUCCAUAUCCAAACUCGGUAGCUCACGCUCCUGCAGAAUUUCAAGUAUCUCUUUACUCUCGCCAAGAAGAAUCGCUGCUCGCCUCACGCUUUCUUGCCUUUCUUUGACGUCGUUUUUGUGACACUUGAACUGAAUGACUCGCACUAGAUUGGUGAGGCACGCUGCUACUAUUUCUGAGAUGCUCAUGGAUAUUCUCUCAAAUACCUCCUCCUCCUCCUCAUCUUCCAUUCCUACCAACAUCGUCUCAGCAAUCCUAUACAUUGAGUUUGCAGCUAUGACUCUAACUGGCCAGUUUAGAGGGUUCUGCAUCACAGCAUCUCUCGUUUGAGCCAUGAAAUCUGUCACAAUCUUUCCUGCAAUGUCUGAGAGCUUUAGCAGUGUUUCCUUGUUGGUUGCGCCUCUCACGCUCGCGCUCUUCAGAUCUUUAUUAUCCCAUUUUCCGUAUACUUCAACUCCGACCCAAACCACGUCUGCUGCUUUUCUGAUGCUUUCCAACUCCCCGUUUCUGUCUAGAGUUUUCUCGAUGAGCUUCACAAUGGACAAGCCCUCACUAACACUAGCCAAUAACUGGCUAGCCUCGUCAUCUGCAACAUUCGCAAGUGCAACUGAAAUGGUUGUCAAAGUCACCAGGGGCAGAGACCAGCAAUUAGGAGGUUCUUGAGAAUGCAAGCUUGGAACUUGGCUGCUGUCAAACUGUCCCACCCCAUUGAAGUUGGCAGAUUUUUUCAGAAGUCGGAUCAGAUUCUUGGGCUGCUUCUUUUCACCUAUCUGGAUAAGCCUAUCCGCCUCGUUGCAGAUGUUGUUGAGGAUUUUAUCAGGCAACUGUGGCUCACCUUCAAGUAGAAGAACAUAGUUGCUAAAAUCCAUUUCUGCUCCCACUGAAUCAGGCCUCUUUAAAUUCUUGCAGAAACACAAGAAAACUGCACUCCCAAAUCUAGCAGAGAGGAAUAGAACUAGUUUGGCAGAUGAAACAAAGAGAAUCUGAGCUCCAAUGCAGAAAUUCAGAACGAACUUUACUGCAUCACAAAGUAGCUUCUUGCACACCGGUUUUGAAUUUGAAACGGAGGUGAUGUAUCCCUCCACUCUAGCAGCCUCCAAGUCCAGUACUUGUCAACCUUGAGUUCCUCUUCGAAGCUCUUUCGUUCCAUCUCUGAAAUCUUCAACCAUGAAGCAACGAACCAUCUUGAGAGAGGAGCAAUACUUCCAACCAUCACUCCCAAACUCUGAACUUUGCCAAUACCGAGACAGACCAGUUAUAUUCUGAAACAUGUAUACAAUAGGCCAAACUGGACCUGUUGGGAGGAGCUAUUGUCAGAGUUACAGCUACUGCAAAUGUUACAACUGCCAAAAGAUACAAGAGACCCGAAGCAGAAGAAAUGGCAGACCUUGCCACCACAAACUGGGGGCUGCCUGUUUCUGCCAUCACCCAAUACCCUUUCACCAAUACUCCAACCUCAUCAAUACUAGUUCUUCCCCACUCUAAUUCUCUAUUUGAAACAGAUUUAUGCAUCUCAUUAUACUUGAGUUGCAUGUAUCUUUUGGCGCCCGGAACCAUGAGGCCAAAGAGCACAACGUGGCGAGCACGAGGAGCAUGAUCAUAGCGGAUGCAACUUGUUCAAGCAACAUAUCUCGCACAUUAGGGAAGGAACGCAUCUCAAGUGUAUGAAUAGCACACGUUCCCCGCGAUAGUGAUGACGAGAAUGCCUAAAGCGCUAUGUUGAGCAGAAUUUCAUUAUUCUCCAUGGAGCCCAAAGAUGUCAUGAAAUGACUAAUACCGGCACACAUCAAAACGAGGCUACUAAGUCCUGGGAGUUUAUCUUUGUACGUUGAGGUCGAUGCUAGUUAGAUCUACGGGCAGCUUCAUGGUCACGGCUAAUAGAGUCAAGGAGAAUGCGUUGAGAGAGAAAUACUUACAUGGAAGCCAAUAGUUUUUGCUUCGGAAACCAAUGAUAGCAUCAGCCAUCAUUGAAAACGUACAGGCGGCAGAGGCUGCUGCAAUAUACACGCCUAUCCACGGCGUAGUUGAAUCAAGUUUCGCUUGCACCAUGCUCCGAUAUUCAUCGUAUGAUUGGGAGCAGUUACGUGAAAGCAUGAGCUCCGAAGCUAACUCUGUCGAUUCGAUUUAAUUCUGCUUCUCUUUGUUUGAGUUUAGGAGUUAUUCGCUCUUGCAUAUAGUAUUAAUUUUAAUGAAACUGAGUUAGUUAAUGUUAAUGAUUGAUGUUGAUGGAGAAUCGAGUCUUGGCCGCGUUGACGGACUUAUCCACACGAGUCGUCGUCUACGGCUCCGAUAUUUCUUCCAUUUUUGUCCUUUUACAAAGUGAUGAUCAAUCGACAUUGAUAUGGCUCGACUCUUGUAUUCCAAGUCUUUGAAACGAAAAUAUCUUAAUAGCGACACGAACGUACCUUGAGAGGCUUCCAGUUUUUUUCCAAGAACAUCACUCUCUCUAUAUAACAGCAAUGAAGAACAAUGCACUUCGAAUCUAUCUAUACAUAACAGCGAAACAGAAUGAGUGGCGAAUUCAGGAAUUUUCGACAGGGAGCUGGAUUAAUUUGUUAAGUAGAGCCUCAAGAUACUUGCAUGAGAUUCAGGGCGAUAUCCCCCCAACUCAAUUAUUUUUUGGGUAGUUCAUACAGUUCGUUUUUGGAAUCUUAAUGGGCUCAAGAUUUGGCUCUAUCACUUGCUAUAUACUCCAUAUAGCUAUUUUAUUUUAUUUUCAUUGAUUCAACAAUAAGUACGUUAAAAGCACAUAAUUGUGUUUCUUUUGAAAAAUCGUUCCAUCUUUUAUAGUUGUCAAUCUUAUUUGAUCAACUAAAAAUUGACUUAAACUCAAUAUUGAAAAUUAACUAAUAGAGAAAAAAAUGGCAAAAAUAACACAAAUUUAAUAAUUAAUAUAACAAAUCACUGCUAAGUAAUUAGCGUGAAUAUUAUGAUUAGUCAAACAAAUAUAUUAUGUUCUCUUUUUCAUCUUAUUUCUUUUAUAUACACUAGCAGAGUUUACGUGCAUUGCACGUAUUAUCUCUUAUUUAACAUUAUAUGAAUAGCCGGAUUGUUUUUAAAUAUUAUGUUUUGGAGACCCUUGCUAUCUUAUAGCUCCACCAAAUUAUAGGAAUGUGUGUGACAUUAGUUAGAAAUAAGUCAAUUCGUAAAAAUUUGCAUAACAGUGGUUGGAAAAAAGAUAUUUAUGGAUAAUUCUGAUAUUGUAAUGGGGGCAUUAAAUAUUGAGGGUUGACUUAAUAGAUAAAAGUAUAUACCAUAGGCUAAUUCAUUCUUUAUUAAGAUAUAUUGAAACCUUGGGAUAUUUCAAGUCCCUUAAUAAUAUUUUAAAGUUUAUAAUUAAAGCUAAUUUACUUGAUUCUUAUCCAAUUGAAAAUGGGGUUGGAGAAAUUCUAAUAAUGAGGAUAAAAAUUCUCAAUUAUCAAAAGUAAACGCCUCUUAAAUUAUAUAUUAUGCUUAUUGUUUACAUAAUUUUUAAGGUAGACUAAUAUUGGUUCAUUGUAUUGUGACUUCAUUAGACAUAUUCAAGAUAACUAUGACAAAAAAUCCACAUUUUACAUGUAGUUAAUUAGAUUUUGCUUGGUUUUAUGAUACGUGGUUAUAUAUCAUAUAGAAAGAGAGUUCACUAUAUGUUAUUCGUAGUCCAAAUUAAAGAGGGUUCUUGAGGAAAAGCAGUAAUUCAAUAAAAUAAACAAGCAACCAUGGCAUCAAUUAUCUAGGUAGUAAUCUAAAUCAUAAGCGGGAAUUAAUCUAAAAAGAGUAUACGGAAGAAAUAAGAAAUACUGCAAUGAAAUCAUAAAUCAUGAGUUUUAUCUAAAGCAAUAAAAAGUGACUUACAGUAAAUUGUGAUAACUCAAUAAGAAUCUCGGACUACUGAAUUACUCUAGACGUAAGGAUGAAAUAUCAAAGCAAAUUAACCCCAAACUAAAGAGAUUGGUGUCUGAAACUAUGACUAUAAUUGCAUCUAUAGAAGUGUGCAAGUGUGCCCUAGAAUAAGAAAAUUCUGACUAUUUAAAUCUUAAAAUGCGCAAUCGUGGAGAUCUCAACCGGGGCGGAGUGAAAUCACGGCUUUUUGACUUAAUUUUGGAGAAGUGAGCGAGUUGACCGAUCGCGGGCAAAGCCAGCGGCCGCGGGGCUAUGCGUGGGCAAGCGGCCGGCGCGCGUGUUGUGCGCGGGCGUGGGGCGGACGUGCGCGGCGUGCGGUCGCGAAAGAUUGAGCAGGCGCGGGGGUGUACAAUGGGAGAAAUGCGUGCCGACUAGGUUGUGAGCGGCCGCGGGGCACUCCGGGGCACGCGGCCGUAGAAGAUUGAGUGGGUGCUGGGGUGUAAAAUGGGAGAAAAGCGCGACGAUUGGGUAGUGAGUGGCCGCGGGUCGCGCUCUCGCGGAUUGCACUGCGCGAUAUUUUUGUUUUGGUCCAUCUCUCUCGUUAUAAGUCUGAUUUUAGAUCCGUUUUUGCCCACGAACUCGUAUCAAGACGAGCUAGAAUUCUUCUUCAGACCAAUCAACUGAAUUUGAACUCUAUAUUUGUCCACUUAUUAAUAAAUUAGAACAUCAAAUUCUGAUAUAACAAAAUUAGCACAUAAGCUCAAAUCAAUCAACUAUUGAGUGAACGAGACCAAAAUAUAAACCCCAUAGCACACCUAAAAACCCAUAAAAUUAUUACAAAAUAGGACUAAACAAUAACUGAAUUAGUGUUAAUAUUAAUUUUAUAUAAAUAUAAAAAUUUAAAAAUAUUUUCCCUUGCAUUGCACAGGGUGCAAAUGUAAAAUAUAAUUUAUAUUGCUUAUAUCUUGUGUGUAUAUAAUGUAAAUAUAUAUUGGUAUAUAUAUACAUUUGAAUUGUUUAUGUAAAUAUAUUUGUAGUAAAUCUAUAUUUAGUGUGAAGUUUUAAUUUACUAUAGUUUUAACUCUUUUUCAGGUUUCUAAUUUUGAAAAAGUUUUCAAGAUUGGAACAGUACUGAUAAAAUAAGAAAGAGUUGAGAUAGGUUUCAUAAUUAAUUCUUUAAAAAAAUAAAUAAAUAUUUAAAUUUGAUCAUUUCGUUCUAAAAUUAUUUAUUGAGAAAAUUAUCAUUUAUUGUAACAACUUAUAAUUAUAAAUUUAAACACGUUUGAGUGAUUAAUGAGUAUUAAUUAUUACUACGAGUUGGCUAAGCGAUAAUGGGUUAAUGCCUAAGGUCAAAGGUCUUGGGUUCAAGUCUCCUGUGGUGCGGCCAUUUAAUUUCUUUAUCUAAUAUUGUAAAUUAAAAAAAAUAUAUCUCUUCUGCUUUCUCAGUUGAACGACAUGCUUUUGUGGAUUUUUCUCUAUUUUUAAUCUUUUGUCAAUUGUAUACAUUAUUUUAAUGUUUACUCUAUAUUGUUUGAGUCUUUAUUGAGACAUAUAAUUAAUUAAUUAAAAAACUAUAUUAAAGACUAUUAUUUUUGUACAUUUAUUCUUAAAAUGGUCUUUUUCAAUUUAUAAACAUUAAGGUGGAAUUAAAUAGUUUCUCAAUUUAAUUUUAAAUGAAUACCAAUUUAAUUAGAUCAAAUAAAUAGUCAUGUUCAAAAUUUUUAUUAAGAUGGAUAAUCAAUUAUUGAUUAUUUAAAUAUUCUAUAAAUUUAAAUCAAUUUGAGUAAUUAACGUGUACUACAUUUGAUUGAACCAUAUAAUGAAAUAUGAUUUUGUUUUUUUUUACCUUCAGCUCAUUUUUUAUUGUCAAAUCAAUCACCAUAUAGUGAUUUUCUUUAUACACUAAUAAAAUUUAUGUGCUUUCUAGGGUUUAGGUGCUUGCUUUCUUUCUUCUUUUAAUAAAAUUUCUAUUUCAGCAGUUAUACAUUAAUAAUAAUUAAAUCAUUAAAUUUAAAGACUGUGCUACGGUGAACUCGAACUCAAGACCUUUGGCCUUAGACGUUAUCAACUUUACUACUAGGCCAACACACGCACAUACUAGUGAUUUUUUUCAUAAAAUAAUUAUUUAAAUUUGGGGGAUAUAUAUUUUACACAAGUCUACGUUAAAUUUUAUGGAUGUAUUUAUUAGAAAUUUAAAUCGACAUUAUAAGGGUAGGAAAGUACAUUCAUCUAAAAUAAUAAUAAGAAACAAUUAUAAAUUUACUAUUUUACCCUAUAACUUAUAGCCCCAAGGCCCCCAAAUUAAAUAUCUUAUAGCUCAUAACUCCUAAUUAAUAUAACUUUUAUUCUUCAUUUUGCAUCCAUACAACUUCAAUCAUGCACUGCAUUUCUUCUAAGAGCAUCCACAAUGGGAUGACUUGAUAGCUUACUUGAUAGAAGGGGGGAUCACAAUGAAUAAAGAGGCCACAGUGGGAUAACUUGAUACAUUACUUGAUUUUUUUAAUUUUGAUUUUUUGUAUUUUUCAUUUAAAUUUAAUUGCACAAAUUUAAAUAACACAAUUUACUUCAAAUUUAAAUUUAAUUAAUUUUAAAAUCCUAAAAAUUACAUAAAUCUUAAAAAUGUAAAAACAUAUCCUAAAAUAACUAUUCUGGCGCUAGAGGUCCGAAAUGUGCUCGAUCAAAUCAUUUUGGAGCUGAGCAUGUAUCUGUCUAUCUCGGAGAAGUGCAUCUCUUUGCACAUAUAGCUUGAAACAAACCGGGGUUGCUCAAGCACUCUCCGUCGAGUCACUGCUAGACGCCUUGUGUCCCGCGUCGUCAUCUCUCCAAUGGGUAGCUCUUUCACCUUCGUUCUCCACAAUCAUGUUGUGGAGAAUGAUGCAACACAUCAUGAUGUCCUUGAGAUGCUCGACGUACCAACCCCGCGUCGGACUUCAAAUGAUUCCCCAGCGAGCUUGAAAGCACUCCAAAGGAACGUUCGACAUCAUUCCGUGCCGAUUCUUGCAUCUUCUUGAACCUCGCCUCCUUUGGAUUGGUCGCCAUCGGUGGACUCUUGACGAAGCAACGCCACUCCGUAUAUAUGUCGUCGCACAAGUAGUAGCCCAUCUGGUAGUAGUGUCGGUUGGCCUCAAAGAUCACCGGCGCCGCCAUUCCAUCCAACGCGUCGGAGAAUAGAGGUGACUGGUUUAGAACGUUGAUGUCGUUGUUAGAGCCGGCGAUACCGAAGAAGGUAUGCCAAAUUCACAAAUCGUGGGAUGCAAUGGCCUCCUAGAUCAUUGAUCACCGCGUGUAUAUGCGUCAUGCUACGCCUUUGGGCAAUUCUUCCACGCCCAAUGCAUACAAUAAAGACUCCCGAGCGUCCCGAAAAAUCCAUGUCGCGCCUCGUGCAUCUGAAGAAGGCAUUGGACGAUAAAGAUAAUUGGCUCCGUAAGCCCGGAUGACAACCUUGCAGAAUCUCUUGAGGCAUAGACGUCCCGUUGUGUCGGUGACCUUGAGAUACUCGUCGAAAGUAUCCGCACUGACGCUGGUGGCUAAUUGGCGGAUAGCCACCGUACAUUUCUGCAAAGGCGUGAGAGAGUCCCGACCUCAUGCAUCAUGGCUCAUUUGGAAGUAACUAUCUUCACCUUGCAUAGCAUCGACGAUGUGCAAGAACAACUCCUUCUGCAUCCGAAAACGACGUCGGAAAAAUGUAGGCCCGUACGUCGAAUUGUCGUUGAAGUGGUAUUGAAUAAGAAGUAAAUGGGCAGCUUCACGAUCACGAUAGACGUAAGACCGAUGUUGAACAACACGUUCCGGCUUCGAUUGGGAGUAAUUUGAGCAAUCAAUUAUUUCUGCAACUGAAUCUCAUCGAUGAUCUCUUGCGCUACCCCGUCGAAUUCAGACGACAAAGUAUCAUCAAACCAUUCGGCCAUUUUUAGAGGAAAAUAAUAUGAAAAUGUAGUAGAGAAAGAUAGGAAGAUUGAAGGAGAAAUUUUUUUGUGUGUGUGAAUGAAGAAAUGAGGGAGAGGUAUUUAUAGAAAGGGAAAAAAAAUGUUGAAGAAACGGCUAGAAAGCUGUUGGAACAAAAAAAAAGAAAAAUUCGGCUAUACAACCGUUAGAUUCAAAUUUAAUGAAUAAAUUUUUUUUAAUACGCGCGUGUGAACACGCGGCUUGAAUAAAGAAGAUCAGGCCUUACCCGAUAAAUCGGGUAAGCCUCGAGUCCAUGGUUGCUGCAGUGGGGAACACGAUCGGUGGGUGACUCGAGUGUGUGCGAUCGAAUCACCCACUGUGGGUGCUCUAAUGCAUCUCAAGAAAGUUCAAAGAAGUUUAACGAAAUCCCUGCUAAAAUUCUCUCAUACACCACCUAAUUACACAAUUCUCACCUAAUUAAAACCCACAAAGAGCUACACAUUGUAUUUUUCCCAAAUCCUUUACUCAAGUACAUAUCCCGCACACACAAAAAAAACCCCAAUCUUUAAAGUGCAAAGAUAAAAUUUAUCUUCGCUAAACAAAAAAGAUUAAAUUUAUCCAUGUUCCAGAACGCAGUAACCGGUUGUAAAAAUGCCAAAGUAAAGCUUAAGGCAUAUGUUGAAAUCACGCAACAAGCAAAAGUGAUUGCAAGCUAGUAUCCGAAUUUGGGAAUUCUUGUAAUAUAUGUAUAUGUCGUCAUGAGUUCCGCUACUUUGACUGUUUGUCUAUCUUCGAAUGAGGUUUUUGAAGUGUUAAAGAGAUUACACAACGUUGAAAUCAUGGCGUUGUCUUUUUCUCGGUGGGUGAAGAAGAAAAGAGGUUUUCAGCACAAUGCAAAAUGCUACAAUUAUCUAAUCAAAUCAUUGGAGAAAAUCAAACGAUUCAAUAUAACAUGAUUAUUUUGGAGGCUACAAGCUAUAAAAUAAAAUAAUAAAUACAUAAUUGUUUAUUAUUAUUAAUUUAGAUAAAAGAAUUAUUUGAGUUAAACGAGGAGUAUGAAUAGAAUUACCCAUAUAAAAUUACCUUUGGUAUUUUGGUUAUAAAUGGCGAUACAAUCGAAGCCCACGUUCAUGCCUAAAUGAUAAUACUGCAUACGGUAAUCUAGUAUUAAUAUCAAUUUAUAACCAUAUGUACAAAAUUCCCUUAUGGAAUGGCACAGGCGUACGGAAAUGCCAUAUCAUGUAAGUUAUGUAACUGUAACACUUGACUUUGUUACCUAUCGAUCGACAUUAGGUUACAUUAAUUCUAGUAUUUUUUUAAGAAAAUUAAUUCCAUUGAUAGUUACUGCUAUUUAAGGUAAUAUUUAAUGCCAAAAUUGAUAGCAAUCACAAUGUUUUUUCCUUUUCUUUUUGUUGCAUUCUAUUUUGUUUGACUGAAAUGGGAACGCUAUUAAGAUAUGGCGUACGAAUUUGCAAAGGCGUGCAUGGUUUGGAUCCUUAAUUCACGGGACAGAAACAAAAUUGAAGUACUAAUUAAUACAAGAAAUGUUAUUAAAAUCAUUGGCUACUAAUUAUUAGGGUUGUAUACCUUGAGGCUCGAGCUGGUAAUACUUUUAUUCGGCUCGAGUUCGAGCUUUAAAUUGAGCUCGAGCCCAGUUCAACAAAUAAAAGCUCGAGUUUGGGUCAAAUUCAGUUCGAUAAUUAUUCAAUUAGAGCAAGCUCGAACUCAUCUCAACAAUUUUUCGUGAUUUGUUACUCAAGCUCGGCUCGUGAAUAGAAUAUAAAACCUGUUAUUCGAGCUCGAUGACAAUUAUUUUCAUCUAUUAUUAUAUUUUAAUUUUAUAUAUUAUCGUAUAUAAUACUAAAAAUAUAUAUGGAUAUUCUUAUCUUAUACUCCCUCCGUCCCGCCCAAGAUGCUACAUAUUCAUUUUUGAGUCGUCCCAACAAAGAUGCUACAUUUCUAUAUUUGGCAAAAAUAAGGAAUUUUAAACACUUAAUUAACACAAAUUAAGUAUUUUUUAUUACUUUCUCUCUCCUACUUUAUCACUUUAUUACCUUCUCUUUCUUACUUUAUCACUUUAUUACUUUAUCUCUUCUACUUUAUCACUUUAUUAUUGCACACUUAAAACAUUAAUUUACAACUCCUUAAAUCUCGUGCCGAAAAGCAAAUGUAACAUCUUGGCUGGGACGGAGGGAGUACUAUAUAAGUAACAAUAUAUAUGCAUCCUAUUUCAAAUAUUUCAAUAUAUAUGAAAAUAUAUAAUUAAAUCCAUUGUUGAUAAUUUAGUAUUGAUGAUAUUAAAGUAGUAAAAAAUACACUACUGAUAAUAUACAAAAUUAUUUACAUGAACAUAUCGCGAACAGGCUCGCGAACCUAUUCGUGAAUAAGGCUUGCGAACAUAUACAGGCUCGAGUUCGGCUCAAUAAUUUUAUCGAACUAAAUUUCAAACUUUAGUUCGGCUUGUUUGAGAGACGAACGGAUUUUGAAUGACUUUUUUUUCGAGUCGAGCUCCGAAUAGUUUGCGAGCGGCUUGAUUCAUUUAUAUUCUUACUAAUUAUCAAAUAAAAACAUCUCUUAAAAAAAAUUAUCAGAUUAUAAGGAAUGUUGUGUAAAUUCAUUUAUUUUGCAAGGAAAUGUUUCUUAAGAAAAAUAGUCAGAACGACUUUGACCAUCCUGAUGGAUUUGGGCUUAUUUCAGAAAUCCGGGGUAUUAGAGCAUUGGCAACGCCUUACACGAUAGCACCUACUCGUGUAAGGUGUUGCUCGUGUAAGGCGUUGCAAGGCAGCCUUACAUGAGGGCUACACGAUGGAUCGUGUAUGCCCGAUAGCGUUAUUUUUUGGCGAGUGUUUUACACGCGCCCUAUUUAAAAAAAUAUAUAUAUAUUGAAAUUCGAUUUUUGAAAUUUGAAGGCAGCUUUGACUGCCUCGGUUUGCGUGCCUUUUUUUGACCGUUUGAAUUUAUUUUUAAUUUAUGAAAUUUUAAUUAUGUUUUAAUUUUUUAAAAAUUUUAUUGGUUUUUAUUUUAAUGGAAUUUAAUUAUUAGUAAAAUGUGUUAUUUAAAUUUUCGAAAAGUGAAAAUCAUAAAAAUCAAAACUAAAAAAAUCAUGUAGACUAUCAUGUAAUCCCAAUGCAGCCUCCUUACACAAUGUGGUCCCUCUCAUCAAGUAAGCUAUCAUGUAAACUUUCAUGUAACCCCAAUUGGGAUGCUCUUAGGAAUUUCAAUUUGGUAAAGCCUUAUUUCUCUUAUGAGUUGGGGUGGAAUAAAAUUCUCAAUAUCUGAUGGCGACCAUCCCAUAUAACAUUAGUUAGAUCAUACUAAAUAUGUCGAUGUAUGUAACAAAAUUAAAGACAAUUCUAUUGCUAUAUUUCGUUGAAUUUAUAUCACUACAAAAAAAUCGUUGAUUACCGACGGCGAAAUGCCGUCGGUAACAAAAGACGGCCGCCGGUAAAUAGUGUUACCGGCGGCGUUACCGGCGGCAACUCGCCGUCGCUAAACGGUUCGUCGGCAACGCCAUUACCGACGGCGAUCGGCCGCCGCCGGCAAUUAACGGGUAGUAGUGUAUCGAGUAAUCAUUUACUAUUUCAUGCUAAAUUUUAGUAUUAUUCUUCAAGUAAAAAAAUUGUGCAUCCUCCAAUGCACGGUGCAUCCAUUCAAUUAAAAUCUAUUAAUCCUCAACAAGAUUCAAUAAUUUCUUAUUGGAGUAUUGAGUUAUGGAAACUGAAAUACUGAGAAUCGUGUUUCGUUAGUUUGUUAUGGAUUUUUACUAGAAUUGGAUUACAACUUUNUUUUUUUUGGUUAUAAAAUAGUACUCACUCCGUCUCGCGAAGCUUGUGCAGUAUUCAUUUUCGGGUUGUCCCGCGAAUCUUGAACAAUUUUCUUAUAUAGCAACUUUUUUUGUUUUAUUCACCUUUUCACUUUUUCACCUACCACACUUCACACACAAAAUACUAACCCCUUAAAACCUGUAUCGAAAAGAAAUUGUUCAAAUUUCACGGAAUGAAGGAAAUAGUCUUUUCUAUGUGAUUGUGUUGAAAUAUAUAACACAAAAGACUCUGGCUAGCACCACAAAUGUAUUUUCGUAAAGACGAAUUGAGUAAUCAAUUUUCAAGUAUUUUUCUUAUUUUUGUAAUUGCUUUGGUUGAUUUUCAGAACAUAAAACUUAUCCAUCACAAUUUGAAUUUAAUUAGUACUAAUAUACUGUACAUUUUACCUCAUUUUUCAAAUACUCCUUCUUAUUGUUAUUGAUUUUGUACAAGUUACUUUUGAUUACUUCAGGAGUCCACUCCUUCUUAUUCAUCAUUUUUCAAAUACUCCUUCAUAUUUGUCUCUUUUAACGUUAGAAACCAAACUAAAUAAUUUUCUUUUUAAAAAAAAACUAAAUAAUUUUAUUAAUUAAAUUUGUUCCUUGGACUAAAAAAAACUACUAGUGAUAAUAUGAUCCAACCAUGAGAUCAACCUACAAAUCAACGGUCCGGAUAAAUCCCCAUCACAUUUAACGUCUUUUACUUCUGCAAUAAAUGCAAAUUUAACUGAAAUAUAGAAACUCAGACAAAGAUUUUGCGCAGCACCAUUCAUUCUCUCUCAUCUUCUUCCUCAUUCCUCCUCCAGUGGAGUCCCACACCAAGUGCGGAAAUAUGCAUAACGCCCCUCCCCUACCACUAAUUCACUCCACCAUCAGCAGCUUGAAAUUUGAAGUGAUAGACGAUGACUUCUCCAUAGACAACUUCCCAUCAUCUCUGCAACUGCAAGAUUUUCACCACCUCGAUCAGUUGCCGCUGAUCAAAGCAUCUUCGUUCAAUACUGUUAUCGACACCGAUCCCUUUUUCCAUGGCUUCGAUUUUUACGAGGUCGACGGUAAACCUUAUGAUGAUGAUGAUAGAAACGGGAUGGGGUGUGCAGCCAUGCAGGGUUUCCAUGGCGGCGGAUUCUUGAAUUUCGACGACAGUGGGAAAGAUCUGUUGAUGGAGUUGGAUGCGGCCUCGAUCAAUGAGGAUCCUAAGCCAUUGAGAUUGUUGUUCUGAUGAGAGCUCGUGCGUUACAGCUGAUUUUCACAAAGAAAAUGGCGUUAAAAGAGACAAAUAUGGUGCUAAUGACACGGCAUCAGCGUCGGCUAAAACUCCCAAGGCUAAGUCAGGCAAGGGGCAGUGGACUCCUGAAGAAGACAGGUUGAUCAACAAUUGUUUUUUUUUUUUCUAAUAAUAUAUCUAUAUAUUUUUUGUGUGUGUUUUUGAGUUGAUAAAGUGUUGAUGGAUUCCCAGAUGUUGAUCCAUUUGGUGGAGAAAUAUGGAGAGAAAAAGUGGUCACGAAUCGCGCAAGUGGUGAAGGGGAGGAUCGGAAAGCAGUGCAGGGAGAGAUGGCAUAAUCAUCUCAGGCCUGACAUCAAAGUUGGAUUAAUUAACCUAAACGUACAUAUUUUGUUAUUCAUAGAUGAGAUAUAAAUUAAUAUUUCAAACUAAUUUGUUGCAGAAAGAUGUAUGGACAGAGGAAGAAGACAGGAUUCUGAUAGAGGCUCAUGCAGAAAUCGGCAAUAAAUGGGCAGAAAUGGCGAAAAGGCUGGCUGGGAGGACUGAGAAUUCCAUAAAGAAUCACUGGAACGCGACCAAGAGGAGGCAGCUCUCGCGGCGAAAAUGCAGGCCUACUUCUCUUCUGCAAAACUACAUCAAAAGCCUUAGCCUUGAGAAAGGGAGCAGAUCAUUAAGGAAUACUACUGCACCUGAUAUUGAGAUGGAUGAUUUCAGUUUCAUGGAUGAUUUUGGCAGCGCCCCUCCGCCGUGUUUUGAGAUGGACUUGCAUGGACUGAAGGAGGACUUUGAUUUUGCCAUGGGCUAAAGAGAAGAAAAUAAAUUUGGUUUAACUUUCAACAAUUUAAAGUCCCAUUAUUUAAGACUUUAUAUAAAAUUAUGUCAAAUAUAAAUAACUUUCAACGAAAAAGGAAAUUGUAUAAGAUGUUGAAUAAGUACCCCAUAUCCUUGGAUUUGCACAGUUUUCAGUACACAUGAUGUUGAAUAACGACUGUAAGAUGCUUCAACAAAAAAGAAAAAAUCACAAUUAACAUUAAAAAAUAAUAAAAGUUCAUCAUCAUUAAAGAUAUCAAAAAUAAAAAUCCAUUUUUGGAGCUGGUUACUUGUAUCUCGAUUGCAAAUAUAUCCAAUCUCAAAAUAUAGUACUCCACAUAAAACAAUGUAGGAUUAUUAGCCGCGUAAAUAAACAAACUUUCAACAUUUUCUGCUAAAUUUAUCCUUUGAACUUAAUGUUCUUUUGAUUUUUUUCAUAAAAUUUAUUUUUCUCAUAUUUUUUGACGAGUUUAUGCUGCAAUUAGUUAUGAAUAACAUGUUUUUUUUUUUUUUUUAAUUUUAUUGGGUUAAGGUACAAAUGCCCCCCUAAACAAGACACCCCUAGAGCGUAUCCCUCCCCAUUCUCGAUGUUGGCCCAAAUAAACCCCCAAAGUCUAUAAAAAGGGUACACUUAAACCCAGCAAGUUAACGGCCGUCUAAUGCCGUUAACUUAAAUUUUUAAUUUUUUUAUUAUUUUCUCAUGGAGCCCACCUUUUAAGCAGCAGUCGCCGCCUUCUUUCGAUUCCCGCCGCCGCCACGUUCGGUGUCACGCCAGAGAAUAAUUGUGACGUUUCCAGACAUCACGCUUCCUCGCCGGUCGUUUCCCGUUCGCGGACACUCCGUCUCCCAAUGUCGGUGCGGUGGGACGAGACAAAUGACACUCCGGCAUCCAAGCCCACCACCAGAAACACGCGAAUCAUCUGUCCUCCCACGCCGGACUCCACGAAGAAGGUUCAACACAACCCAGCAAGAAGAACAACCAAUUUCAAAAUCAGAUUUCCAAUUUCAUCCUCUGCCCGCCAGGACCAGCUUCCCGAGCUCCUGCAUCUUCACCGUGAUCUUCCGCCUGCUCUGCCUGGCCGCGAUGCUCUGAACAGAUAAGCUGCCGCUGCCGCCGCCGCUCGCUUCUUUCUUGGCGCUCUCACAGCUCCCUGUGCUGAAAUCCACUGCAGGGAAGUCCACUGGCAUAAGUGAGGUCGUCGCAGAGAAGAGAAGGGAAGGGCGGCGUGGGGAGCGGUGGAGGUUUUUGCGGAGAGGGUGAAGGGGUAUACCCCCCAUUCUCGACCUUGGCCCAAAUACAACCCAGAGUCAAUAAAAAACUAUCAAGAAUGAGGAGGGAUACGCUCUAGGGGUGUCUUGUUUAGGGGGGCAUUUGUACCUUAUCCCAAUUUUAUUUUAUUUUAUUGUGUCAAGAAAUUGAAAAACUUUAAUACUCCUUCAUUUGUCCCAUUAGUAAUGCCCCGCUACUUUGAUCAUGAAGAUUAAGAAGAGUGUAGUUAGUGUAUAAAUUAAGUUGGUGGAAUAUAUUUAAGAAUUAUUUUAAGUGUGUUGGUGUAUAAAGUGAUUUUGGGCCCACUGUUAGUUUAAAUAAUUACUAAUUUUUUACUAAAAAAGGUAUUAUACAUUAUUAAAAGGACGUCUCAAUAUAGUAAUUGAGACAUUACUAAUGAGACGAAAGGAGUACUAUGAUCUUUGGAUCUAAAAAUUCUAUCAUAUCAUAUUUUCUCAACGAAGUUGCGCUGCAAUUAAUUAUGGUUAAAAUAUUAAUUUUAAUUUUUUAUUGUAUCGAGAAUUGGAAAACUUUAAUUUAAUAUGGUUUUUGGAUCCAAAAAUCUCAUCAUUGAGAGAGAAAUAUGACAUAGGAAAGCUCAUAAUUAAGAACAUGAAAUUUGCGAGAAAAAUUUAAAAAAUACUGAAAGUUCAUGUAUUUACACACAAAUAAUUAGGAAAAAAAAUUAAUUAAGAUCGCCGGUUAGUCAUUCCACGUUGGCAGCUCUAACUGAUACGUCAACAUCAAUUUGAAAAAAAAUAAAUUUCAAGAGAAAAAUUAGACGAACAUUAAAUUAAAAAAAUCAUGAAAAAACUCAAAAAAUGUUGAAAGUUCAUAUACUUUCACGCAAAUAUAACCCAGAAAUGUAACACAUGCAAGACAACUUUGCAUAACUACAUAAACAAACUAUCAAAUCAUUUGUACAUAGCCUUAAGUCUAUAUAUACAACUCAAUUUUAUACUAAGAGUGUGUUUGCUUUUUAUCCCUCUAAAUGGAUGGAUAACAAAAAUUUAUGCCUUUAAAUGUUUGCUUUCUUAUCCCACAUUUUACACAACAUUAUUUUUCCUUCCUUAUUUUCACUUCAAGGAGGGAUAAUAUUAUCCCUCCAAUUUUGGUGUGAUAAUAUUAUCCCUCCUUGAAGUGAAAAAUAAGAAAAGAAAAAUUGUGUUUAUGUAAAAAUAUGGGAUAAAGAAAGCAAACAUUUAAAGGNAUCUAUAAAUAGGGCUCUUAUGCAUAGAAAUAGAAGGGAGACUCUUACUCUUCACUUGUACUUAUAACUCUUUUCCAAUAAUAAAAACUCUAUCAUUUUACCAUUUUACUAUCUAAUUUUAUUAUGGAAUUAUUCACAAACUCAUCAAUAAUAUUAUACUUUUUUCAUUAUUUUCAAUACACUCAAUAAUAUCGUUUAACUCCUAAAAAAUUAUUUAGGGAUGGAUGAAGUAUAUGUUGACAUUGACUCGAUUUUAAUUAGUAUAGUAAUUGAUUGAUAAAUGCAUCUACAGUGCAACAAAAAAACAUAUAGGUGUUUGUUUUUUAUCCCUCUAAAUGGAGGGAUAACAAAAAUUUAUGCCUUUAAAUGUUUGUUUUCUUAUCCUACAUUUUACACAAACACCAUUUUUCCUUCCUUAUUUUCACUUCAAGGAGGGAUAAUAUUAUCCCUCCAAUUUUGGUGUGAUAAUAUUAUCCCUCCUUGAAGUGAAAAUAAGGAAGGGAAAAUGAUGUUUGUGUAAAAUGUGGGAUAAGAAAACAAAUAUUUAAAGGCUUAAAUUUUUGUUAUCCCUCCAUUUAGAGGAAUAAAAAGCAAACACACCCUAAAUUUAUAAAGUUACCGCACUAAUCAAGAUUCCUAUAUAUAGUCCUGCUAAGUGGUAAAUGACUUUGUCCCGAUCUCGCUUGACCUAGUUGGUAGAGUGACGAUACAUUAUGGUCGAAAUAGUUUAUCAACUAUCACACUACACUAAUAUCAUCUCCAAAUGUGGACAGAGCAAAGGGGGCAAUAGCUACAUUGAAGGUCCGAGUUCCAACUUUAUCUAUGUGCUUCAUCUCAUAGUCACCUUCCUGCAAAUAAUGCAGCAAAUAUAUAUCUAAACAUCACACAAUGGGAAAAUAAGACAUUCUAUCUUCACAUUCCCAUAUUUUUGGAUCAUAACACAUUUAUGAUAAAACGCGUCUCACCAUUCUGCCAGUCGACGUGCUCAAUGGACAAGCGGAUGAAUACUCGAAUCCAGUAUUAGGAAGUAUAACCGGUUGUUCACCUAUAACUCCAGUGCCCCUGAUAAAGAAGCACGAGGUUUAGUCACUAGAGAAAGUGAAGCAUAAUACCUCAAAAAGGGAUACAGAAUUGAGUCAGUCGAAGUAGUGAGGAACAAAAGAUGGGAAACUGGAAGCUUAACUGGACUGUCUCAGUUCUUCCAUUGGCAUCAGUUAUGAUCCAAUGGCGUCUAAGAAGUUGCACGGGGCGAUCAGAUAGGUUGGUGAUUCUGAUCCUAUAUGCAUAAAAGUAGAGGCCUUUUGAUGGCUGACUUCUACCUGCAAUGUACACACUCCUUACUUGGACUCUAAUUCCCUGCAGAUUAUGCAGAAAUUAGCACACGACAGAAACAUUGUAUUUAUCAUUAGACUAGUUUAAGGUUAUGCACGUUAUCAAAUUCAAGAAUCAAAGCAUUUCAGGUUCACAGAAUCAUAUCAAAUUCAUCAAUUCUUGAAACUUGAUAAUGAAAUAAUGUAACUAGCCAGGUUGUAUAACGUGCUUGUCCUACCAAGGUUGUAGCAUCACUCGAGCACUUCAAAAGAGUAUAGGGAGCAAUUUCCUUUAACUCAUCGCGGUAGGCAGCUGCAUCCUGGAGUUGCAUACAUACGUAUAACAAAUAUGAUUACUUACACUGAAAAGUCACUACAGGGGGUACCAUGUAUGACUAGGAAAGUUUGCAAAAAUAUGUUCUUUUUCCACAGUUACAGAUACCAUUCAGAUUAAAUUAACUCAUAGUUAUUUUGAUUAUUUAAAGAUUUUACAUGAACUAGGUUCAAUGUUUUAUUGGAUUACCAUGAAUUUCAAAUGAACUUAGUAUCUAAUGCUUUGUGUAUCCAAUCUAACAAAUCAUCCUUGACAAACUUAUUAAAAUUGUAAGAUUCAUCAUGGCGUUGAUAAAAAUUGAAUGGAAAAUCAAACAAGGGUGGAUAAGGCAUAUAUAGAUACCUCAAAUCUUUCCUGUGAAAUGGCCUCUUUCAACAAUCUUUGAAGUCGCAAAGCUGGCUCCUCUUCCUCAAAAAGUUUCAGUGAAUCGCGAAGCCUAGCCGCUUCCUUGUAAUCCUAAUGUAAUCAUCAAUUCGAAAAGAGAAAAAAAAAAGAUCAACUUCAAAUCAAUUUGCAUAUGAAAGUUCUCUGCAUAAACUCACAAAAUCAAAGAAAAAGCCCAACAUAAUAAUCUCCAUGAAUUCGUUUCCACAACAUUAGUUCAAAUUGUAUAUAUACAUGAACUUAUUUGCUUACAGCUAAAUUUAACUGAACAUACACAAUAUCGAACUGAUAUUUAGACAUUGCCAAAGUUCAAACAAUCCAAGAAAAGCAAUCACCAACUAAUACACAAAAUCAGAACUAACGAAUUCAACAUAUAAAAACAAAUGAACACUUGCAAUAAUUUGAACAGAUAUUUUUUAAGAAAAAACACCUCUGAUUUUGCAGCAACUUCCAACUGCUGCUUCAAUAGAGCAUACGUCUCCGUCCGCGACAGAUUCGAACUAUGGCUCGGAUCUUGAACCGGACCCGAGCCCGAACCCGGAUUGCUGCAAGCGACUAUCCGAUUAACCCGCCAAUUGUAGGCUUUUGCGCUGCUUCUGAGCCGACCCGCCAACAACAGCGCGUUGAAAUCACUCACAACCUUCAGAUUCAAGCAAUGCAUUUUGGUAUAGACCACUCGUUUAUUUUUUUUGGAAAAUCGAACUGUAGUUGAGGAGUUGAUGUGAUUAUACUUUCAUCAGUGGAGGAUAAUUUGGAACGCGUAAUUACCAUAAUGGGCAUGGAGGCGGGUGGAGAUUGGUGGCAAUAUAGUGAAUUCCGAUGGAGCGUGGAUUUUUCGAAUUUUCAGUGGUUUGGAGCCGUUUGAGAAAAGAGGAGAUUUUUGCGCUUCAAUGGAAGGAGAUUACGUUGACACGUGUUCAAUUCGGUUAUUUUCAGUUAAAUCCAGUGUUAUACGUUGAAAUCGCUGUUUCAACACACAACUUAUAAUGUCUAAAGUUUUCUUUUUCGAGAAUUUAUAAUGUCUAAUGUCAAAUGAAUGUGAUAAAAAAAAAAUACUAACGAAAAUAAUAUGAGAUGCAUAACUUGUUUGCUACCAUGCGAUUGUAUAUAUAAAACAAUUUUAGUGCUUCAUUUGUCUACUAAAUUAAAAAAAAAAUGAUUCAAUCAUGUGAUUGCGUACUAAAACAAUUUUUUAUAAUUUUUUGUUAUUAUUUUAAUUUAUUUUUAACAUAAAGUUGAAAACAAAUACUAAUAUACUCAAUAUUAAUAAUAGAAUAAUUAUAUAUAAGUACUCCCUCUGUCAUUUAAAAAUAGUUCAGGAAGUGGCCUGCAUUUAAAUAAAAAUAAUUAAGUAUGUUAUGAGUGGAGAAAUGAUAUCACCAUAAAGGUAGCGUUAAUAAUAAUAAAUUAAUUGUAUUGUGAGUGAAGAGAGGGUUAUAAUAUACGUAAAUAAGUUAAUAUAUGAAGGGCUAUUGUGGAGUAGUAUCCAUAAAUAGAAUAAGACUAUUUUUUGUGAACACCCGAAACAUGAAAAUUAGGACUAUUUUUUCAGGACGGAUGAAAGAUAAUUUGUGGUUUAGUGGUCAUUGAUAAAUCAUCAAAAGUUUGUGAAAUUGAGUUAGAUAGAAUAUUGGUGAUAUGGAAGUGAGAAAAAUUAAUUAAAUAUUAAAAAAAAUUGAUGGUUGAAUAAUUGGAUCAAUCACUACUAUAGAUAUUUUUAGUAUAAUAUAGUAUACUAGAGUAUAUUUAGGUCUUCAUCUUUUUAAAAUUUUGGAAUUUUAAUAUAAAUACUAAUUUUUUAUAUAUAUAUAUAUAUUAUUUCGAAAUGGCUCUUCACAUUUUUAUCUUACGAAAGAAAUUAAAGCAUUUGUUUAUAUACUGUAGUUGUUGAUAUAUGACUAUAAAAACUUGAAUUGUAAUAUAUAGGUAUAAUUAAUAUCCCUUCGUCCAUGAAAAUAUGUCAUAACUCUUUUUCGUCAUUUAUGAACCGCCAUUUUUUAUUUUGUGGAGCUUUUCUCUCACUAACUCUCUCUACUUUUUCUAAUUUGUAAAGCCUUUUUUCUAUUUAUUAAAUAAAUAAUUAUUUUUUCUUAAAUUCGUAUCGUCUUCCCUUAUAACCUAUAUUCAUAGAUGGAGGGAGUAAUUUAUUAAAAGUACGACAUGAUAAAAUACAAUUUCAAAAUAUUAAAUAAAAUUAUAUUUUAAUUGGGAAGUGUCAUGUUUCUUCUACAACCAUUAAAUUUGGAAUUCAAAUCACAACGAAAGUAAAUGAGGCAUCAUUAUUGAUUUUUUUUUUUUAAUAAUUAUACUCCCUUCGUCGCGUGAAACUUUAUCCGUAUUCUUUUCUGGUUGUCCCAUGUAACUUGACUACUUUUAUUAUAUGACAAAAGUUUCUCCUUUAUUUACUAUUCCACUUUUUCACCUACCACUAUCCUAAAUAAAAAUAAAAAUCACAUAUCACACUUAACACACAAAAUAUUACUUCUCUAAAACUCGUUUAAAAAAGAAAGUGAUCAAGUUUCGCGGGACGGAGGGAGUACUUAUUUCAUCUACGAAAAUUAUAAUUUUAUUACUAUAUCUUUUUUUAGGGAAAACGAGUGACGAUUUACUGAUCACGGGAACAUGGAAUGUGGAAAUGACGAUCACGUCGACAUGUCUUAGACAGAAUCCCGGAAGCGUUGAAAGCUCUUCACGGCAGAAACUAGCAAGAAUACCAAAUUCAGAAAUAUUAUUACCUCUCGAAGCAAUCACAUCACAAGCACGUUUACUAUCUAAUUCCACAACACCUCUCACAUAACCCAGCCACUUGAUCCAAGAAAGCACCUCUUUGAUUCCCAAAAGCUCAUGACCACCCUCCUCAACACUACAUAUGCCCGGAACCUUCAUAGAAACCCUAGUAAGAAAGUUUCCCCCAUGGUCACGAAUAAUCAGCCCAAUACCCAUGGCAUUCUCAUUAUCGAAAAAGUGCAUCAACACCACAAUGGAUAUCUCCCUCCGGCAUACCAUACCAACCUAGACACACCGGCGACGGGGGAGGGGCAACUUCCUAUCUAACACGAUAAGCUCUAUCCAGAACCCACUCUUUACGACAGCCAACAAUUAACAGCUUCCACGAAACGGGCUGGAUUCGGGUAAAUCUCCUUCCAAACCAUGGUGUUAUGGUCCUUCCAAAUCUACCAAAGAACCAUAGCAAUAAGAGAUUUAUGUUCACCACUCGCCUCCUCUAAGAUACAAAAGAGAGCAUGCAUGAAAGAGUCACUUCUAGAGGUAAUGGAGUCGAUGACCGAGGAGAGAUUACAAGCAUUCCAACAUGCCUCAGCAAACGGACAGAAGAAGAACCUGUGCCAAAGGUUCUCAAAACCUCUACAACAAGUCGCACACUCUCCCCCAACAGCUAAGCCACGAGAUAAACGAUUCUUUUUUUACGGCAAAUUAUUACGGGCCGCACGGAAAAGAAAAUGACGUACCUUGGGAGAAACAUCAACCUUCCAUGUACAGAUUAUGCCAAUGACCAUUAGUACGAUAAGUUUCAUCAAGAGUGAGGGAACUAGCCAACUUGUAGGCUGACUUGACAGAAUAGCAACCAUUAUCAGAGAAAUUUCAUAUUAACUUGUCCGACUGCGAACGAGGGAGCAAAGGAAUACUGAUGAUAUCACAUAAUUCUUCACCACUCACAAUCCCAUUCAGCAGCUCCAUAUUCCAAGUUCGUGUUCUAGAAUUCAAAAGCUCACACUACAAAAAACCAAUUUUUUACCGAGGGAUUUCCUUCACUUGGUAAUUAUCGAGUAUUUAGCGAAAGUGUUUUGAGGAUUAAUGUAUUUUCAAAUAUACCGACAGUUUACCGAGAGAAUACCGAGUGAAAGUUUUAUUGAGAGAAAAAUUUCCUCGGUAAAAGUUAAUUUUAAUUUUAUUAUGAUGAAAUUUAAUUAUAAAUUAGUAGCUUUAAUUUUACCGAUGGAUUUAUUCUCUCUGUAAAUUGUUUCCAAAUUACUAAACACUGAAUCCCUCAAUAAAAUUAAAACUACCGUUGCUUUUGUUCCUCAUAAUUCUCACCUUUUUUUUCUUUCGCCACUGUCGUCCACCACCCCCACCUCCAGUAAGCGCUUCUCUCUCUCUCUCUCUUCAUUUGGCUGUGUACACCAUCUCCAAUUUUUAGUUGCAAAUCUCUUUGAGAAAUCCUGCGAAUUGCGCUGCUCUUUGUCACUAUAAAACUGCCCUCUUUCUCACACCAAUAUAGUUUGGCUUUACUCAUGUUCACAUUUCAUAGCUCAUAUUGGUUUCCUGUUGCAUUAAUUACCGUAAUUUUAAUUUAAUCCUUAAGUUUUGUGUCCUGUUAAUUGCAGGUCUAUGCUUACUCUCUAUGUUUUGAAGACUCUAAUUGCCAAUGCCAAGGAAAAGGAAAAUUGUAAUUUAGGGUUUCGCUCGGUUUGUGUUUUCAAUUUUCAGUCUCUUACAGUUAAAUUUCGUUUGAUUUUUUGUGAUUCGGAGUUUUUGAAGAAUAUUUUGGAUUUCUCAGAUGUUCUACACCACAAGAACUUUCAGUUACAUAGGGUAAUCUAUGGCAUCUUUAGGAACUUCCUAUAUUCUUUUAGCUUAAUUUACUUCGGAUAUUGUUGACUGGGAAAUUGAGCCUAUCAUAUAGCACCUUCUCUGGUGCAGUUGUCGUCUCUCCAUUAUGGUAUCCAGUUUGUUGCAUGAGAUUGAGGCUUCUUUGGUGCAUACCUUUAAGUAGUUGUUGCUUAUUCCAUUGCAACUAUAUAUAAAUAUGCAGACAAUCUUUUAAACUAGUUGCUCUGUAGAUCGUUUUAAUUUUGUCUCCAUCUUGGAUGAUGGAUCAUUUAAAUCUACUUGCUCUUGUUAGGCGUGUGAUACAGAUGAUACAUAUCUAUUAAUCAAUUAUAUUUUUGGUGCUCUGCAUUUUAUAUACUCUUGCAGCUACAAUUUGGAGAACAGGGUGCCCAGGUCUGAUAAUCGAUCUUCACUUUUGACAAAAUUAGUCCAUUUCUAGGUGAAAAUGUAGACCCGUCGGAUUUAUCAACCUGAGUUUGAUAAUGCCGUUGUCUAUCUCCACCUGAUUUGAUUCGAAAAUGUAGACCUAGAAAUGGAAUAAUUUUGUAUGAAAUAUAUAUUUAUCCAAGAAGUUUACAUUGUCAGGCGAAACAUGCAGUUGGAGUGGAGAAGAUGAGGUUUCAUUGCUUUGAAUAAGCUUAACCCUAUAUAGAACCUUUACAUAUCUACUUAUUUUUACUCAAAAAUCUUAUUUAUCUUCUGUUUUGAUCAUAAAUUUAUCUUUGAUUUAGCUUGUGGAUUAAUCACACUUAUGUCAAUAUUUGUUGUUUUGGAUUUGUAAUGCUUGUGUGUCACGAGACAUAAUAUACAAAAUAAUCAUCUGCUUUUAUAAUAUAUUGUAAUUUCUUUUUCCAAGAUUUUUCAAUCCACUUUCUAUGCUUUAAGUAAUUCAUAUCUUAGGCUUUUUAUGCUUUAAGCAAUUCAUUUCUCACAUAUCUUAGGCUUUUAGUAAUUAAAAUUACUUAACCUUCUAUAGUGC
rnacentral:lncRNA from 1 species